rnacentral:rRNA from 1 species
AUUGAACGCUGGCGGCGUGCCUAACACAUGCAAGUCGAGCGGUAACAGGUGUAGCAAUACAUGCUGACGAGCGGCGGACGGGUGAGUAACGCUUGGGAAUCUGCCUGUUAGUGGGGGACAACCCGGGGAAACUCGGGCUAAUACCGCAUACGCACUACGGUGGAAAGCCGGGGACCGCAAGGCCUGGCGCUAACAGAUGAGCCCAAGUCGGAUUAGCUAGUUGGUAGGGAACGGCCUACCAAGGCGACGAUCCGUAACUGGUCUGAGAGGACGACCAGUCACACCGGAACUGAGACACGGUCCGGACUCCUACGGGAGGCAGCAGUGGGGAAUAUUGGACAAUGGGCGAAAGCCUGAUCCAGCGACGCCGCGUGGGUGAAGAAGGCCUGCGGGUUGUAAAGCCCUUCGGUGGGGAAG